AAUUAAUAAGCUAAAUAAGCAAGUGUUUUGAAAGCACUAAAUCUAGAAGUUAUCUUAAAUAAAUUG
rnacentral:tRNA from 1 species